rnacentral:rRNA from 1 species
CAGUAGCCGCGGUAAUACAGAGGGUGCAAGCGUUAAUCGGAAUUACUGGGCGUAAAGCGCGCGUAGGUGGUUUGUUAAGUUGGAUGUGAAAUCCCCGGGCUCAACCUGGGAACUGCAUCCAAAACUGGCAAGCUAGAGUAUGGUAGAGGGUGGUGGAAUUUCCUGUGUAGCGGUGAAAUGCGUAGAUAUAGGAAGGAACACCAGUGGCGAAGGCGACCACCUGGACUGAUACUGACACUGAGGUGCGAAAGCGUGGGGAGCAAACAGGAUUAGAUACCCCCGUAGUCCCUGUCUCUUAUAC